GACGAACGCUGGCGGCGCGCUUAACACAUGCAAGUCGAGCGAGAACCAGUCCUUCGGGACUGGGGAAAGCGGCGAACGGGUGAGUAACACGUGGGUAAUCUGCCCUCGGCACUGGGAUAGCCCGGGGAAACCCGGAUUAAUACCGGAUAGCCUUUCGAGCCUUCGGGCUCGUCAGGAAAGGUGGCUUCGGCUUCCGGCUGAGGAUGAGCCCGCGGCGGAUUAGCUUGUUGGUGGGGUAAUGGCCUACCAAGGCGACGAUCCGUAGCUGGUCUGAGAGGACGAUCAGCCACACUGGGACUGAGACACGGCCCAGACUCCUACGGGAGGCAGCAGUGGGGGAUCUUGCGCAAUGGGCGAAAGCCUGACGCAGCAACGCCGCGUGCGGGAAGAAGGCCUUCGGGUUGUAAACCGCUUUCAGGAGGGACGAAGCCACUCGGGUUAAUAGCCCAGAGGGUGACGGUACCUCCAGAAGAAGCCCCGGCUAACUACGUGCCAGCCGCCGCCGUAAAAC
rnacentral:rRNA from 1 species